AAAAAUUCAAGUCUGAAUUGCCUUCUCUUCUUUUUAUAGGACAUUGAUAAUUUCAGGCGGUUUGGGCACCUUCGCUUUGGCUCGGGACAGACUGUACCAAAACAGAGUGGAAAUCAUGAAAAGAAUCAAAGCUGCCAUCGAUGCCGAUGUUAAAAAAUCGCAGAAUCGCAAUAGCAGAACAGCGACAACAAUCAUGAUGUAUGAUGGAAUUUGGUGUCCACUGUCAAAACAUGACGUUGAACAAUGGAAAGACGUGGACAAUGUGUGUGAAACUGUGUUGUUUUUAAAUGGGGAAAAAAAAAAAAAAAAAAAAAAAAAAAAAAAAGGCAGAGAAAAUAAAAUGAUUUUAUUGGACCUUUACGUACCACACAUAACAUUUAUAAUUAGUACGUGUGGUGUUUGAUACUUUUAUUAGCAUAGACGUGUGAGGGAGGGGGGACCCCUCCCGUCUUAAACACAUCCGCCAAGAUAUUCGGAGAAUGUGCCUAAUUAAGACAGACGUGCUUGAAUCUUCAUUGGGUGUAUGCACGUGUCAAAUGAUUGAUUAAUAGGGAUGGGUUAGUAUAGUAUAGUAAAGAAAUUGCGCCGAAUUUCCUUCAUCAAAAUGCUCACCCACUUCCCUUUUUGGCUUAAUCCUACGGGACAUUCCAAAUUACAUAACACCAUACCACCCUCCGCCUGUUGCCGGCUACGGUUGGACUGCUGGUGCUCCCUUGCACCUGCCAGUGCAGGCGGUCCCUCCUCCUCCCACCCCCACCCUUUCCUAUCUUGGACGGAGGAGUCGGUCGAGGCCGGCACUUGUGCUCAGGACAGGCGUGCGCUACAACUAGCUCUGAAUGUGCACGUUAAACAUUUUGGUCUUUGUCAGAAAGAAAUUGUUGGGUAUGGCGCUAUGGAACUGAAUGCAACCACAAUCAACGUGGGGGGGGGGGGGGGGGGGGGG